CUGGGAAUAGCUGAGCGGCACAAGCGUCUGCCUGGCAAGCACAAGGUCCUGAGUUCGAUUCUCGGUACCAAAA
rnacentral:tRNA from 1 species